CCUACGGGAGGCAGCAGUGAGGAAUAUUGGUCAAUGGGCGGGAGCCUGAACCAGCCAAGCCGCGUGCGGGAUGACGGUCCAGCGUAUCGUAAACCUCUUUUGUCCGGGAACAAAGUCGGGGACUUGUCGCUGGUUGCAGGUACCUGAAGAAUAAGGAUCGGCUAAUUCCGUGCCAGCAGCCGCGGUAAUACGGAGGAUGCGGGCGUUAUCCGGAUUUAUUGGGUUUAAAGGGGGCGCAGGCGGCCUGUUAAGUCAGCGGUAAAAGCCCGGGGCUCAACCUCGGCGAGCCGUGGAAACUGGCGGGCUGGAGUUGGAGAGAAGUACGCGGAAUGCGCGGUGUAGCGGUGAAAUGCUUAGAUAUCGCGCAGAACCCCGAUUGCGAAGGCAGCGUACCGUCGCCACACUGACGCUGAGGCACGAAGGCGUGGGUAUCGAACAGGAUUAGAUACCCUGGUAGUC
rnacentral:rRNA from 1 species